rnacentral:lncRNA from 1 species
GAAAAGCUGGUCACACCUUUGACAAAGGAAAGUAUUCGACCUUUGAAGAAGGAAAAAGUGAGUAAAAUCUUUUCACCAUAUGCCAAAGAUGGCAACAAAUAUGUGCAAGUAACCACCACUCCGACAGGUGUAUUUUCUGUGAAAUCAUGUUAUAGGCCUUGUUUAGAUCUCUUAUGGUCUUUAUGUGAUUAGUCAAAUGCUUGGAUUUUGGCCUGCCAUAAAUCAUGUUAUAUGGCAGUGAUCUGCAAUGUUCACAAUUGAUCAUUGCUUUUGCAGCUCUGGUGCUCUGCUGGUUUUUUAAGUUGGCUUGAUGUCCCAGUUUGCGCGUGUGCUUGUGGAUUAUAUUCAUUUGUUUUAAGGAGAGG